CCUACGGGUGGCUGCAGUGGGGAAUAUUGGACAAUGGGCGAAAGCCUGAUCCAGCCAUGCCGCGUGUGUGAAGAAGGCCUUCGGGUUGUAAAGCACUUUCAGUGGGGAAGAAAGCCUUGGGGCUAAUACCCUCGAGGAAGUACAUCACCCACAGAAGAAGCACCGGCUAACUCCGUGCCAGCAGCCGCGGUAAUACGGAGGGUGCGAGCGUUAAUCGGAAUUACUGGGCGUAAAGCGCGCGUAGGCGGUCUGAUAAGCCGGUUGUGAAAGCCCCGGGCUCAACCUGGGAACGGCAUCCGGAACUGUCAGGCUAGAGUGCAGGAGAGGAAGGUAGAAUUCCCGGUGUAGCGGUGAAAUGCGUAGAGAUCGGGAGGAAUACCAGUGGCGAAGGCGGCCUUCUGGACUGACACUGACGCUGAGGUGCGAAAGCGUGGGUAGCAAACAGGAUUAGAUACCCGUGUAGUC
rnacentral:rRNA from 1 species